UACGAAGGGGGCUAGCGUUGCUCGGAAUCACUGGGCGUAAAGCGCACGUAGGCGGCUUUCUAAGUCAGGGGUGAAAUCCUGGAGCUCAACUCCAGAACUGCCUUUGAUACUGGAGAGCUAGAGUCCGGAAGAGGUGAGUGGAACUGCGAGUGUAGAGGUGAAAUUCGUAGAUAUUCGCAAGAACACCCGUGGCGAAGGCGGCUCUCUGGGACGGUACUGACGCUGAGACGCGAAAGCGUGGGGAGCGAACAGG
rnacentral:rRNA from 1 species